rnacentral:misc_RNA from 1 species
GUAUUGUGGGAGAACAAAAGAGUUACCUAUUUCUUCAACUGCUCAACUAAUUAUAUAUUUCAGGUUUGAGAGAAAGAAAAUAGUACACCAUGUCAGAUGAUGAUAACCCUAAAGCAAAGCCCAGGAAAGGGCCUCUCUUUUAUGGAAGCAUAUUUGCUUUCAUUGGUGGUGUUCUGCUGCUGAUGUCAUUUUGCAGUCCGUACUGGCUGCAGUCAUAUGAAAUCGCCUACUUGGACUUCAAGAACAUGGGUCUGUGGGAAGUCUGCUUUGUCAACUUCCGGUACCCCAACAACCAGUUUGACCACAAGUUCACUGGUUGUCACUGGGUGUUCAGCAACGAGUACCGCAUCAUCAGAGAGUGGAUUCUGCCUGCGUGGCUGCAGGCGGUGCAGGCGUUCGUCACGCUGGCCUUCGUGGCCAGCUUCGGCGGCCAGGUGGUGGUGGCCAUGAUGCUGAUGAAGCUGCCGCUCUUCCUGUGGCGCCGCUUCCAGCUGGAGAUGACCGUCACAGCGCUCACCAUGAAGCUCGUUACCGUGGCGACGCUGUUUCUGGCGCUGGCCAUUUUCGGCGGCAAGUGCUGGGACCGCGACUGGCUCAUGUACCCCAACUACAACUUCCUCUCGUGGUCGUACUACAUGGCCGCCUUCUCUUGCAUGUUCCACGCGUUCGCCGCCAUCCUCUAUGGCAUGGAGAUGAAUGCCAUCCGGCGCCGCCAGUUGGAACAGAGCAACAUUCUGAUGCACAUGCAGCCGGCCGAGUCGCACCACGGUUCGGCGUACAUCUGAGCCGGUCCCGGGCCCCGGGCCGCCGGCGAGGGCCAUGUAUGCAGACCGCACCCGCCGGCCGACCAGCCGCUCACCCGCCCCGCCCGCCUCUGUCUCACCUGUACCAGGUGAAGCAGCUGAUGCCUACCGACUACCACCUGGACCGGCUCAGCCGCCACGGUCUCUACGAGUACGGCAACGAGUACGGCAGCGAGCCCGGCUACCAGUACGGCGGCUACCCACCCUCGGUGCCCUCCGUCGCCCCGUCCGUGGUCGCCCCCUCGCCGGCGCCCUACCAGCGCGUCGAGAACGAUAACGAGGUGUUCGUUCACGACCCGAGCAACGGCGCCCGCUACUGAGGCGGCGCGGUUCGGUCGGCCGUCGGUAGAUGGUGUGCGCGUCGGCGGCCGCCGAUGCGCGCCCAUAGUUGGUGCGUUCAUGUGCUAUAACACAUUCCGUCCGCUCGAUUGUGACUAUCGACUUGUUAGCGUGGAUCUGAGCAGAUCUAAGCUGGUUGAAGCAAUUUGUACCCGGUAUUUGUAAGUUUUUUUUUUUUUUUUGCUGAGACGUGGCAGUCCCCGACGUUCACGCGAGCACACACGCUUCGGCAUUUGCACAUCACACUCAGCUUUUUGCGGAGGCUUUCAGUUAUUGGCGUCAUUCCAUCGAAAGGCUGUCUGUGUCGCUUUGUUUCGCAUUAUGUAUCGCUAGCAUAGGAUAGUUAGUUUAUACUAGUUUAUAAGCAUGGUACCUUCACAGAUCUUCCAACCUUGAAUAUUUUUUACGAACAAAUUGCAAGCUAAGCCACAGUUGGGUUGGUAGAGUCGUGGGCGUCUUCGCUCUUCGAAGACUUUCUUCUGAGAUGUGUCUGUGAAAGGUUCACCCCUGUAAAUGUGUACCAUACAAGCAUUGUGAUUAAAAUGUACUACCGGCAGCUAUUUUUAGCACAUCGCUUGUUUGUAUCGCUGUACGUAGGUCUGUCGUGCGAGGAGUGAGGACGCGCCGUUUCGUCGCCUCUCUAGUACGGACAGAGUGUAUGUGCCUUCACGCUGGCACACUGCCGCUCUCGGUCGCUCGCUCCCGGUCCGGUGCGGACCCCGGUACCCAUGAGCCUGGCCCAUGCGAUACGUGAGCUCGACUGUCCAGAACGGCGUUUGUCUGUCCCGCGAAAUAAACACGCACAUAAAACCA